rnacentral:rRNA from 1 species
GACGAACGCUGGCGGCGUGCUUAACACAUGCAAGUCGAACGGAAAGGCCCUGCUUUUGUGGGGUGCUCGAGUGGCGAACGGGUGAGUAACACGUGAGUAACCUGCCCUUGACUUUGGGAUAACUUCAGGAAACUGGGGCUCAUACCGGAUAGGAGCUCCUGCUGCAUGGUGGGGGUUGGAAAGUUUCGGCGGUUGGGGAUGGACUCGCGGCUUAUCAGCUUGUUGGUGGGGUAGUGGCUUACCAAGGCUUUGACGGGUAGCCGGCCUGAGAGGGUGACCGGCCACAUUGGGACUGAGAUACGGCCCAGACUCCUACGGGAGGCAGCAGUGGAGAAUAUUGCACAAUGGGCGGAAGCCUGAUGCAGCAACGCCGCGUGCGGGAUGACGGCCUUCGGGUUGUAAACCGUUUUCGCCUGUGACGAAGCGUGAGUGACGGUAAUGGAUAAAGAAGCACCGGCUAACUACGUG